GUAAUAGGAAUAUUUUCUGAAUUAAUUCUGAAUGCCUCUUGUAGUGUGGAGAAGAUAGUCAUGUGUCCAGGGAAUGUGGUGGAAAGGAGGUGGUGGUGAUGGCGGCAUCGGCAAUUGGCUUUGUCACAAGUGUGGACAAGAGGGAUAUUUUAUCAGAGAGUUUCCACAAGUCUGAGGGGACGUUGGUAGUGGAGUAACAAAGUAAGUGUGUGGAAGAGGCACAUUUUUCGAGGGAUUGUCUAUAAGGAGGUGGCGAUAGUGGC